CAGUAGCCGCGGGAAUACGGAGGGAGCUAGCGUUGUUCGGAAUUACUGGGCGUAAAGCGCACGUAGGCGGCUUUGUAAGUUAGAGGUGAAAGCCUGGAGCUCAACUCCAGAAUUGCCUUUAAGACUGCAUCGCUUGAAUCCGGGAGAGGUGAGUGGAAUUCCGAGUGUAGAGGUGAAAUUCGUAGAUAUUCGGAAGAACACCAGUGGCGAAGGCGGCUCACUGGACCGGCAUUGACGCUGAGGUGCGAAAGCGUGGGGAGCAAACAGGAUUAGAUACCCCAGUAGUCCCUGUCUCUUAUAU
rnacentral:rRNA from 1 species